rnacentral:sRNA from 1 species
UACCAUGCUUGACUUAUGGCUGCCAAAC